AGGAAAAAUUAAACAGGUACGAUACAUUUCUUUUUUGCAGUGAAGAUGGUCGGAUUAGCUUUUUUGUCCUCUACAUACCUUCGUUAUGAAAAGAAAAAGAAAAAAUGGAAGGUAAUGGAAAGUAAGAGUUUGUUCCUACUCAAAUACAGUGCUCUGUUAAUCGGCAUCUCAAACAGGAAAUAGUACACCAAAUUUUGUCAAAUAUUGCGGAAAGGCUUCUGGAAGAGAUUCAGUUAGCCAGAAUCUCAUAAAGAAGUUCUCUGCAAUUAUUGAGGAUUUUGAUAGUUAGGAGUUGGGAGAAGAAAUGGAAAUUGAUUUUGAGUUAGUUCUAUGGAUUUAGGGCUUAGAUUCAUGUACAUAUUCAAAGAUCUAAAUUCGCUGCAGUAAAAUCACAGAGGCAGUAGGUUUUACAUCCACAUGAUUCUCUUGUAGAAUAUAGCUCAUUGAUUUUGCAUCAUGUUUCUCAUACAAUAGUUCAGGCUUAACCAACAUACAGCAAAUAAGCAGUUAUUUAGUUAUUUCAUCAAAUAAUUAGCAUAUGUAUUAACCAGCAGUGAGGGUGUGCAUUGCAUAUAGCUAUGAAAUCUUUCCAUUUUUCGCACACUUGAACGACUACAAUAAUCCCCAUACUCAAACAGAAAACAUCCCCACAUGUUCUUUCCACUCAUAAAUCAGUGAAAUGGAUUCUUCAACUUCAAUGAAGGUUUACUUUUUCCAUUGAGAGAAGGAAACAAAGGAAAGCAGAAUUACAUAAGUAGUGAUGUACGUGAAACUCCAUGACUUGAUGAGCUAUAAGCUUCAAGUUUUUCUUCUUAUCAUUUCUUUACACAUAGUUCUGCUUUUGCUAUGUGACUGCUUCCUCAAUAUGCUGUAGAAUUCAGUAAAUGAUCACCCAUUGAUCCGAGCUUACUGUAUCCUAGAAAAGCUUUUUCCUUCCUUGGCUAAUUCAGUUCUUCUUUCUCUGUUACUGUGUUCUCAUUAAUUGUGCCUAUUGACUUAUUCUUCUUUGUUAGUUGACACGGUCUAAAAAGUUCAUAACUUUACUAGUAAUGCAUUCAGGUAAAGCCACUGAUUUGGGUAGAAGCUCUAGUUGAAAGGCAUUCAAGAAGCUCGGUUGAGAUAUUAGUCAAGGCCAGAAGGCAGUUUAAGGAGUGUAGGUGCUAUAGCGCAGUGCCUUGGCGUAACUGGUAAAGUUGCUAUCAUGUGACUAGAAGGUCAUGGGUUCGAGCCGUGGAAACAGCCUCUUGCAGAAAUGCAGGGUAAAACUGCGUAUAAUAGACCCUUGUGGGUCCGGCGCGCAAUGUUAUAAAAAACAUAUAUUAUAACAUAGCAUGAAAAAUUGGUUCCAAAAAAACUUGGCUGUUAUAGUGAAUUGUUGUUAUAGAAGAUGACUGUUAUAGAGAAGUUUGAAAGUAAAUGCUAUUUGCAUCCACAGUACAAGAAUAGCAAAUUUGAAAGAACAAUUUGGAUUUUUGUUGCUUUUCAAUCCCUCAUUAUUUGUUCAAAUUUGAGGCUUGCGCAUUUAAUGUCAAACUGGUUGUGAUACACAUAUUUCAGCUACUAAGGGGCCUAAUGCCAGCUCAGAUACCAGCUAAGAUGCCAUGUAGACUAGCAGUUAGGCUUAGCAUGUAGUUGUUGUGCCGAAAAUUCAAAAUGAAGAAUGGCGGGAAAGUUAGUUAGUGGCAUUUUCAGCUAUUUUGCGCUUCUUUUGCAUUCCAUUUGAAUUCCUUGUAUUAGCUAUAUAAAUAGCAGAAUUGUAAGGGAAAGGACAUGUUUUGAAUA